CCUACGGGGUGCAGCAGUAGGGAAUAUUGCUCAAUGGGGGAAACCCUGAAGCAGCAACGCCGCGUGGAGGAUGACGGUUUUCGGAUUGUAAACUCCUUUUGUUAGAGAAGAUAAUGACGGUAUCUAACGAAUAAGCACCGGCUAACUCCGUGCCAGCAGCCGCGGUAAUACGGAGGGUGCAAGCGUUACUCGGAAUCACUGGGCGUAAAGAGCGCGUAGGCGGGAUAGCAAGUCAGAUGUGAAAUCCUAUGGCUUAACCAUAGAACUGCAUUUGAAACUGUUAUUCUAGAGUAUGGGAGAGGUAGGUGGAAUUCUUGGUGUAGGGGUAAAAUGCGUAGAGAUCAAGAGGAAUACUCAUUGCGAAGGCGACCUGCUAGAACAUAACUGACGCUGAUGCGCGAAAGCGUGGGGAGCAAACAGGAUUAGAUACCCCUGUAGUC
rnacentral:rRNA from 1 species